GAUGAACGCUGGCGGCGUGCCUAAUACAUGCAAGUCGAGCGAACAGACGAGGAGCUUGCUCCUUUGACGUUAGCGGCGGACGGGUGAGUAACACGUGGAUAACCUACCUAUAAGACUGGGAUAACUUCGGUAAACCGGAGUUAAUACCGGAUAACUUGUUGAACCGCUUGGUUCAACAGUGAAAGACGGUCUUGCUGUCAUUUUUAGAUGGAUCCGCGCCGCAUUAGCUAGUUGGUAAGGUAACGGCUUACCAAGGCAACGAUGCGUAGCCGACCUGAGAGGGUGAUCGGCCACACUGGAACUGAGACACGGUCCAGACUCCUACGGGAGGCAGCAGUAGGGAAUCUUCCGCAAUGGGCGAAAGCCUGACGGAGCAACGCCGCGUGAGUGAAGAAGGUCUUCGGAUCGUAAAACUCUGUUAUUAGGGAAGAACAAAUGUGUAAGUAACUAUGCACGUCUUGACGGUACCUAAUCAGAAAGCCACGGCUAACUACGUG
rnacentral:rRNA from 1 species